UACGAAGGGUGCAAGCGUUAUUCGGAUUUAUUGGGCGUAAAGGGUGCGUAGACGGUAUAUUAAGUCUAUUGUUAAAUCUUCUGGCCUAACCAGAAAUCUGCAGUAGAUACUGAUGUGCUAGAGGGUGGAAGAGAGAAGUGGAAUUCUCGGAGUAGCGGUAAAAUGCGUAGAUCUCGAGAGGAACACCAAUGGCGAAGGCAGCUUCUUGGUCCACACCUGACGUUGAGGCACGAAAGCGUGGGGAGCAAACAGGAUUAGAUACCCUGGUAGUCCACGCUGUAAACGAUGAUCACUAGACGUUAGUUCUGUUUUACAGAAUUAGUGUCGUAGCUAACGCGAUAAGUGAUCCGCCUGGGAACUACGGUCGCAAGAUUAAA
rnacentral:rRNA from 1 species